CCUACGGGUGGCAGCAGUCGAGAAUCAUUCACAAUGGGGGAAACCCUGAUGGUGCGACGCCGCGUGGGUGAAUGAAGGUCUUCGGAUUGUAAACCCCUGUCAUGUGGGAGCAAAUUAAAAAGAUAGUACCACACGAGGAAGAGACGGCUAACUCUGUGCCAGCAGCCGCGUUAAUACAGAGGUCUCAAGCGUUGUUCGGAAUCACCGGGCGUAAAGCGUGCGUAGGCUGUUUCGUAAGUCGUGUGUGAAAGGCGCGGGCUCAACCCGCGGAAGGCAGAUGAUACUGCGAGACUAGAGUGAUGGAGGGGGAACCGGAAUUCUCGGUGUAGCAGUGAAAUGCGUAGAUAUAGAGAGGAACACUCGUGGCGAAGGCGGGUUCCUGGACAUUAACUGACGCUGAGGCACGAAGGCCAGGGGAGCGAAAGGGAUUAGAUACCCGAGUAGUC
rnacentral:rRNA from 1 species